AGACUCACUUGUGCAUGUGUGAAAUGACAGCACUUCAGAGCGGCUCAGCUUAUAACAGCAAAAGCUUGGAAAUGGCCUGAAUGCCUAUCAAGAGGGCACUGGUUAAAGAAACGAUUGUCCCUCCAAACAACAGAAUUCUGUGCAGCAGACGGCGCCUGAGCGAUCUUUGAGAACUACUGCAGAUGCCUGGCCCAGCUCUGGCCCCGGUGCGGCCUGCAUGCCAAGCGCUUCAUUAGCUGGGAAAGAAGACUCUUGCCCUCCUUCGUCUAAUCCUCGCCAGUGACCUUCAGGAACCAGGCACCUUCUGACGUUGGGAGCCUGGGACGGUGCAAUCAUCAAUUACACCGUGGCCUCUGCAGCUGUUCCUGAAUGGAUUUCUUGCUCAGAGAAGCGUGUUUGAAAAGCAUCUAAUGGAACGGAUCAUCAAUUUGUUUGAAUACACAUCUAAUCUGAUUAGGGGGGCACUGGCCACCAGGGCAGCUAGUACAACUGAGCCUUGACAUGGCCCCAGGGAAUCGUAAGUGGGGUGGCGGGGCCAGUCUGGGGAAGGAGGGCUGUGUGCCCUGGGCCUGCCACCGAGCCCUCCUUGAGCUCAGCCCAUGGUACGUCCAGCCAAAAAAGUCACAGAGAAAAGCAGAACACAUCACACAGAUGCCAGGAGAGCUGGGCCCAAGACUCCUGUUUUUCUAUAGCCCUGGCACUGGGCACAGAGCCUGAGACAAAGAAGAUGCUUGGGAAAUAUGUGGCAAAUGAAUGACAGUAAGGCCCAACAUGGAAGCCAAGGGAUGUUGAAUAAAGUCAUCUGCGGGACAAGACUAGGUGAUGCCUGUAUUGGGUUGAAUAUGUCUCCCUCAAAUUCAUGUCUUCCCAAAACCUCAGAAUGUGACCUGAUUUGGAAAUCGAGUCUUUGGAGAUGUAGUUUGUUAAGAUGAGGUCACGCUGGAGUAGGAUGGGCCUUCCGUGACUGGUGUCUUGGUAGGAGGAGAAGAAACACAGGGAAAGAGACACACAAGGAGAAGACAAGAGCCAAGUAAAGACAGAGACAGGGACUGAAGCGAUGCAUCUACCAGCCAGGGAACGCCAAGGACUGCUGGGAGCCACCAGGCAGGCCUAGGACGGGGGCAGGACGGAGCCUCCCGUUGAGCCUGCAGAAGGAGCAUGCCCCUGUCACCCUGAUUUCAGACUUCUGGCCUCCAGAACUGUGAGAGAACAGAUUUCUGCUGUUUAAAGCCACCCAGCUUAUAGUACUUUGUCAUGGCAGCCCAGGAAACUCAUGCAAUGCCUACAGGAAGCUUUGUCCGUCAUUCCACAGAAGGCAGCAUGGCAGAGAACCAGAAGGAAGUCCGAGCCCUGCCUCGCUGGAUGUAGCUGGUCGUUCCCAGACACAUCACGUGCGCCAUGCCACUCUCUUCCCUGGGGAGCCCUUUCUUUCCUUCUUUACCAGGAAAAUAUUGGUUUUCAAUCCAUGUUAGUUCCUGUCCAGCACUCCUUCAAAGCUCAAAUGCCAUGUCCUCUGUAACUCUUCUUCAGAUGUCCUCCUCAGACUCCUGAGAUCGCCUCCCUCCCAACAUGCUUGGUGAUUCCCAUGCUACAUCCCCUACUGCUGGGCACACUGGGGCUCCCUCAUCUCCCUAGCCCCAGAGCCUGGCAACAGCCUGGCCUGCAGAAGAGCCCAGAUCCAUGAGAAAGUGGGCAAGCAAACUUGCUGUGGACCAGCGGGUGCCUCCCUUCUUGGGAGUGGACCAGAAUGGAGAUCACAAAGUUCCCUUCCAGCCCUGACAUUAUAAGAGCUGAGUAGCCCUCUGGGGGAUGACCUUACUGGGCCCUGUAAUGGGACCACCUGGGUUCAAACCCAGUGGACUCUGCCACUCACAAGCUGUGUUUCCCUGGGCAUCAUUCUGUAACUCUGCUGCACCUCUCCUGAAAAAUAGGGAUAGCAGUGCCUCCCUCAUUGGCCUAUGGAAAGGGGUCUGCAGGAGCCCAGAGCGAGGACUCAUAGGACCAGGGAUGCGUCCAAGAACCCACAGGCCUGGGGGUCUCCAGUGUCUACCUCCUUGGUCAACGAUGGUGCCACCAGAUGCAGGGCACGGAAGGCUGUGCCGUGAGGAAGGACCAGCACCCCAGAGCUCUGGCUGGCAUGCUUCCCAGGGGCAGCCCCUGUUCCUCCUCUUGCCCACCCUUGGAGACGGGCCAUCACCUAAGAGGAGGGAGAGAUGGAAGUCGGGGGAAGAUGGGAGCUAGGGGCAGUGGCUCUGACUUAACACCAGCAUUGGUUUCCCAAUAUUGAAUAAAGAGGGCUGAGCUGGACAGCAGGUGUCCUUAGGGGCUUGACCUCACCACCCCCAGACGGGGCCUGUCUGCCCAAUUUCAGGGGCUUCUCCUCAAUUUCCUGGCUUCAGGGCAAGGCUGCUCAGCCCAGGGACAAGAAGGAAAGAUGGGUAUUUGUUAAAGGCCUACUCCACACUGAGCAGCGCGUGUUUAACCAUUUAAUCCUCCCAGCCUCCUUAGGGGAGUGCUAUGAGGACUUCUCUUUUAUUUCUCUCAUCUGAAGCUCAGAUGAGAGAGGUACCCAGUCACAUGUGUGUCAGUGGCAGAGCUGGAUUUUGAACCCAUAGCCGCCUGCCUCCAUGCAAGGCCUCUGACCUCCCCUCUGUCCAGGCUGCGUUUGGAGCCCAGGAACAGAUUCCAAGGCUGGGCCCCGCAGGGAGGAAAAAACAAAGCACGAGUCGCUCUCUGCACGGAGGCUGAGAGAUGGAGCCACCGCUGAAGAAGAACACACAUUCAUCAGGCUGGUGACCCCGGUGUACCAGCGCUUUGUGGCGUGUAACAAAGACUGCCGAGCGGAAAAUUGGAGUUCAAUUUGCCGUCCAUCCUGCACGCAGUGCUCAGCCCAUUCUAGUCCCUGGCAGGCACCUCUGUGCUUUAUCAUAAAUAAUAACACCACGCGGCUCUAUGGCCCUUUCCGCAGUUACAGUCCCUGAGCAAUUUACAAGCCAGAUUAUACACAGAAGCCUGCACAUGCCUGCCGGCCAGCACACACCGCACACACGCGGCCUCCUCCCCAGUCACUCCUAGGGCCCACGGCCAUCCUGGUGUCACCCAUCUGGGGCUGCACCCAAUCUGGAGGGAAGCAGGCCCUUGUGCACCCCUGGACACUGGGCUCUGCUCCUGCCCCGGUCACCUUCUUUAUCCCUUUUACUGGCUCUCAUGGUUGGCAGAGAAACCACGAGGUCUGGUGGCCCACUGCCCCUUGCUGGACCAAGGUCAAGGCCACUUCCCCUCUCUUUCUUUCCAUUUUAGAAGGAGCUUCUGGACCUCCUCCCCUCCGAUCAGCAGUGGCCCUUUGUCUCUACCACAGGGAGUGCCGUCUCUCCUCAGAACUUAUUCGGAGUAGUGGGGGGUGCAAAAGCAGCAACAGGGACCCACAAGUUCAACCGCUCGCUUCACAGACGGGACCCCCGGGGCCCAGAGAGGUGCAGCAGCUUCCCUGGGGACUCUGCAUCAGCUGCUGAGCUGAGAUCAAAGCCCAGGACCACCGGCACCCAGUCCACUACACAGCGGAGCCCCAUGGAGGGAGGCAAACAAAGGUCUAGGGCAGACUGGGCUGCUCCCUCUGAGCAUCUAGAAACUUCCCCAGAAGCAGAAGCUUCAGGCAGGGCCUGGAGGGGCUCCAGCCGCAGCUCCUUCCCCCUCUUGCCAUCAAACUAAAUAAGAGGUCAACUAUUGUAUGAUGCCAUUUAUAUGAGAUAUCCAGAGUAGGUAGAUCCAUAGAGAUAGGGCUGAGAUUGGUGAUUGGCAGGUGGUUGGGAGAGAGGGGAAUGGGGAGUGACUGUGAGUGGGUACAGGCUUCCUUCUGGGGUGACGAAAGUAUUCUGGAACUCAGUGGUGGUUGUACAUCAUUGUGAAUGUACUAAGUGCCACUGAAUUGCUCACUUGAAAAUGAUUUUUUUUUUUUUUUUUGAGACAGGGUCUCGCUCUGCUGCCCAGGCGGGAGUGUGGUGGUGCAAUCAUAGCUCACUGUAGCCUUGAACUCCCAGGCUCAAGUGAUCCUCCACUUUAGCCUCUCGAGUACCUGGGACCACAGGCGCGUGCCACCAUGCUUGGCUAUUAUUUUGUAUUUUUAGUAGAGAUGAGGUUUUGACAUGUUGCCCAGGCUGAUCUCGAACUCUUGGACUCAAGCAAUGUACCCACCUCGGCCUCCCAAAGUGCUAGGAUUAAGGCAUGAGUCAGUCUUAAAAUGGCUAAUUUUAUGUCAUGCAAAUCUUACCCCCAUCAAAAAAAUAAAAAAAAAUAAAAAACAUACAAUGGG
rnacentral:antisense_RNA from 1 species